AAAGCUUUAAGUUAAAAAAACUAUUAACCUUCAAAGUUAAAAUUACAUUCACUUAUGUAAGCUUUA
rnacentral:tRNA from 1 species